rnacentral:rRNA from 1 species
CAGUCGCCACGGGAAUACAGAGGGUGCGAGCGUUAAUCGGAUUUACUGGGCGUAAAGCGUGCGUAGGCGGCUUUUUAAGUCGGAUGUGAAAUCCCUGAGCUUAACUUAGGAAUUGCAUUCGAUACUGGGAAGCUAGAGUAUGGGAGAGGAUGGUAGAAUUCCAGGUGUAGCGGUGAAAUGCGUAGAGAUCUGGAGGAAUACCGAUGGCGAAGGCAGCCAUCUGGCCUAAUACUGACGCUGAGGUACGAAAGCAUGGGGAGCAAACAGGAUUAGAUACCCCCGUAGUCCCUGUCUCUUAUCC